AGAACGAACGCUGGCGGCAUGCCUAACACAUGCAAGUCGAACGUGAUCCAGGCUUCGGCCUGGUGAAAGUGGCAGACGGGUGAGUAACGCGUGGGAACCUGCCCUGUGGUAGGGAAUAACCGUGGGAAACUGCGGCUAAUACCCUAUGAGUCCUUCGGGAGAAAGAUUUAUCGCCAUAGGAGGGGCCCGCGUCGGAUUAGGUAGUUGGUGGGGUAACGGCCUACCAAGCCUUCGAUCCGUAGCUGGUCUGAGAGGAUGAUCAGCCACACUGGGACUGAGAUACGGCCCAGACUCCUACGGGAGGCAGCAGUGGGGAAUAUUGGACAAUGGGCGAAAGCCUGAUGCAGCGACGCCGCGUGAGGGAAGAAGGCUUUCGGGUUGUAAACCUCUUUCAGGAGGGACGAAGCUACUCGGGUUAAUAGCCCAGAGGGUGACGGUACCUUCAGAAGAAGCCCCGGCUAACUACGCGCCAGCAGCCGC
rnacentral:rRNA from 1 species